rnacentral:lncRNA from 1 species
CGUACAUGAUAAUGCUCAACAUGACACACAAAAAGCGCUAUUCAUCUUCGCGUGUAUGUAUUCAACGUGUGUGCACGUGUGUUCAUGUUAGCUAAAGCCUAAGGAAAACUGGAGUUUAAAAUUCAAUAGCGGCUGUUCUGUACAUGCAUUGUUCUAAUUAAUAACAAGUGUGUGCGGGGUACACGUACAUGAUAAUGCUCAACAUGACACACAAAAAGCGCUAUCCAUCUUCGCGUGUAUGUAUUCAAUGUGUGUGCACGUGUGUUCGCCAUCAAUCAAAUAUAAACAAAGCUUCUUUCGUUCAACGUAGACCUACUAAUAGUUAUAAAUCUACCUCGACUUGGUGAACCUCUUCUCGAUUAAAUAAAAGCACCUUAGACUACUCAUUAAUUGUUCGAUAACAGAAGUUUAUUUUCUGCUUCAAACGCCCGCUUGCAGCUGAUUUAAAAUGGCCAAAGUGAACGGGACAAACAACGAAACGAUGCAGAAUUCGUUCCUACAGAUGAUAGGCAUAUGCACGAGACUGAGGCAUCGACAAUAUAAUGUACAACAGGGAGUUGGGCAAAUGAUGAAGGCGGUGAAUGAAAUGGAAAAACAUGUGAAGAUCAUGGAGGAUGAAAACGCAGCAGCAAAGAAAAAAAUGGUAGAAAAAAACAGAGAAAUGGCAAAACAAAAUCAUGUGCUAAAGAAAGAGAUCAAAGAACUCAAAACCAAAUUAGAGAAGAAGCAAACAGACCUGGACCUAUCGCAAUCGAGUUUAUCUGCACUCUGCUGUGGACCAGAGGACGAUGAUACCAAAGAAAACGAUACCAAAGAAGGCGAUGAUACCAAAGAAGGCGAUGAUACAAAAGAAGGCGAUGAUACAAAAGAUAGCGAUGAUACCAAAGAAGGCGAUGAUACCAAAGAAGGCAGUCAAGAUUUGUUUUAGACAAGAAACUCAACAUAGAUACGAUACCUUCAGCUUAAGUUUUAUAUGUAUAUUCGUUAAAUAAUUCAGUACUUACACUUUUUAUAAGCAUGAAAUUAUCAUAAAACUUGCCUUUUUGCCAUACAUGUGUUAUAGCAUUAUGUAAAUGUGAAAUGUUAAAAACUUAUUAUUUUAAAACUGUAUCAUAGUAUAAGUUAAAGUUUUUAUAAUUAUGUACAUGUGCUGUGAUUUUUUUUCAGGCAAAAUAUGUUUUAGAUAAAAAGCUACAUUUAUAAACUUUGAUAUGGAAUAUUCACCUUGAGCUUUUUCCUACAUUGCAUUAAGAUAUAUCAGUACUUGGAUAUUUUUAAACAUGAUAUUACAUAAGACUUGCCAUUUUGCCAUAUUCUGUUAAAUAUAAAUGUGAAAUGUAAAAAAAUUAAGCACUUUAUAAAUGUAUGAUAAUAUAUAAGUUAAAGUUAUUAUAUGAUGUACAUGUGUUGUGUUUUUUCACCCUUCAUAUUGUAUUAUAAAAUGUAAAUAUAACCAAUAUUUUUAUCUUCAAAAUAUGCAACAUAAAUGUUUAAAAGGGAUAUUUAUCAUGUAGGAAAGAUGAGAAAAAAUUAUUGUGAACUUUCAAUUCUUUUCUGAUAUUUAACUGUUUGUAAAUGCAUAUUUAUAAGGGAUAACCAUGUAAACAGAUGCAUGUAUGUAAUUAUGUGUCUGCAUAUGUAAAAAAAAUAUUAUUUUAAAACUGUAUCAUAGUAUAAGAUAAAAGUUAUUAUAAUAAUGUACAUGUGCUGUGAUUUUUUCAAGCAAAAUAUGUUUUAGUUAAAGAACUACAUUUAUAAACAUUGAUAUGGAUUAUUCACCUUGAGCUUUUUCCUGCAUUGCAUUAAGAUAAAUCAGUACUUGGAUAUUUUUAAACAUGAAAUUAAAUAAGACUUGCUGUUUUGGCAUAUUCUGUUAAAUAUAAAUUGAAAUGUAAAAAAAAUUAAGCACUUUAUAACUGUAUGAUAAUAUAUAAGUUAAAGUUAUUAUAUGAUGUACAUAUGUUGUGUUUUUUCACCCUUCAUAUUGUAUUAUAAAAUGUAAAUAUAACCAAUAUUUUUAUCUUCAAAAUAUUUAUCAUGUAGGAAAGAUGAGAAACAAUUAUUGUAAACUUUCAAAUCUUUUCUGAUAUUUAACUGUUUGUAAAUGCAUAUUUAUAAGGAAUUACCAUGUAAACAGAUGCAUGUAUGUAAUUAUUUGUCUGCAUAUAUUUCCAAGUAUGGAGAACAUCAAAGCGUCUCUUUUAAGUUAAUUGCAUCAUCCAUGCAAAAUAUCUUUUUGAUGAUAACUUUAAUAAAUGGAUCAUGUUAUUUUAAUAAAGUAUAUUAAGCCAAAUUAAAAA